AUCUAUCUUGAAACCCUUGAACCAAUGACCCCCUGAUCUACUUCUCAUUCUCAUUAUGCUACCAUUUGGGCUUUUGAUCAUGGUAAUCAUGUUCCUUCUAUGCCUUAAUAUAGUAGUCCUAUGAGAAAACCCUGUAUUUGCAUCACCCUCUUUCAGUGAUUCUACUUUGACUUCUGCCACCAAUACACCUCUUGUAUUGCAAAAUUCUUAUUGUGCAACUGAAUACACCUCGACAGCUAUAUAUAUUCUUCCACAGACAAUCCCCCUA
rnacentral:lncRNA from 1 species